rnacentral:rRNA from 1 species
UACGUAGGGUGCGAGCGUUGUCCGGAAUUAUUGGGCGGAAAGAGCUUGUAGGCGGUUUGGCGCGUCUGCUGUGAAAAUCCGGGGCUCAACCCCGGACUUGCAGUGGGUACGGGCAGACUAGAGUGUGGUAGGGGAGACUGGAAUUCCUGGUGUAGCGGUGAAAUGCGCAGAUAUCAGGAGGAACACCGAUGGCGAAGGCAGGUCUCUGGGCCACUACUGACGCUGAGAAGCGAAAGCAUGGGGAGCGAACAGG